rnacentral:tRNA from 1 species
GGGAGUAUAGCUCAGUGGUAGAGUGCGUACCUGGCGUGCAUGAGGUCCUGGGUUCAAUCCACAGUGCUUCUG